rnacentral:rRNA from 1 species
GACGAACGCUGGCGGCGUGCUUAACACAUGCAAGUCGAACGGGUCUGCCCUGUUUUUUGCGGGGUGGGUCAGUGGCGAACGGGUGAGUAACACGUGAGUAACCUGCCCCUCACUUCUGGAUAACCGCUUGAAAGGGUGGCUAAUACGGGGUGUUCUGGCUGUGCCGCAUGGUGUGGCUGGGAAAGAUUCACUUUUGUGGUGUUUUGGUGGGGGAUGGGCUCGCGGCCUAUCAGCUUGUUGGUGGGGUGAUGGCCUGCCAAGGCUUUGACGGGUAGCCGGCCUGAGAGGGUGGGCGGUCACACUGGGACUGAGAUACGGCCCAGACUCCUGCGGGAGGCAGCAGUGGGGGGUAUUGCACAAUGGGCGGAAGCCUGAUGCAGCGACGUCGCGUGAGGGAUGGAGGCCUUCGGGUUGUGAACUUCUUUCGCAGGUGAAGAAGGUCCUGCUCUUUGUGGUGGGGUUGACGGUAGCCGGGUUAUGAAGCGCCGGCUAACUACGUG